ACGCACGCUGGCGGCAUGCCUCACCCAUGCCAGUCGCACGAGACCUUCGGGUCUAGUGGCGCACGGGUGCGUAACGCGUGGGAACCUGCCCUUAGGUUCGGAAUAACUCCCCGAAAGGGGUGCUAAUACCGGAUAAUGUCUUCGGACCAAAGAUUUAUCGCCUUUGGAUGGGCCCGCGUUGGAUUAGCUAGUUGGUAGGGUAAAAGCCUACCAAGGCGACGAUCCAUAGCUGGUCUGAGAGGAUGAUCAGCCACACUGGGACUGAGACACGGCCCAGACUCCUACGGGAGGCAGCAGUGGGGAAUAUUGGACAAUGGGCGAAAGCCUGAUCCAGCAAUGCCGCGUGAGUGAUGAAGGCCUUAGGGUUGUAAAGCUCUUUUACCCGGGAUGAUAAUGACAGUACCGGGAGAAUAAGCUCCGGCUAACUCCGUG
rnacentral:rRNA from 1 species